UACGGAGGGUGCAAGCGUUAUCCGGAUUUACUGGGUUUAAGGGGAGCGCAGGCGGAUUGGUAAGUCAGUGGUGAAAUACCCGUGCUUAACAUGGGAACUGCCAUUGAUACUAUCAGUCUUGAAUGUUGUUGAGGUUUGCGGAAUGGGUCAUGUAGCGGUGAAAUGCAUAGAUAUGACCCGGAACACCUAUUGCGAAGGCAGCAGGCUAAACAAAUAUUGACGCUGAGGCUCGAAAGCGUGGGGAUCAAACAGG
rnacentral:rRNA from 1 species